rnacentral:rRNA from 1 species
GACGAACGCUGGCGGCGUGCUUAACACAUGCAAGUCGAACGGAAAGGCCCUGCUUUUGUGGGGUGCUCGAGUGGCGAACGGGUGAGUAACACGUGAGUAACCUGCCCUUGACUUUGGGAUAACUUCAGGAAACUGGGGCUAAUACCGGAUAGGAGCUCCUGCUGCAUGGUGGGGGUUGGAAAGUUUCGGCGGUUGGGGAUGGACUCGCGGCUUAUCAGCUUGUUGGUGGGGUAGUGGCUUACCAAGGCUUUGACGGGUAGCCGGCCUGAGAGGGUGACCGGCCACAUUGGGACUGAGAUGCGGGCGAGACUGCUACGGGAGGCAGCAGUGGGGAAUAUUGCACAAUGGGCGGAAGCCUGAUGCAGCAACGCCGCGUGCGGGAUGACGGCCUUCGGGUUGUAACCCGCAUUCGCCUGUGACGAAGCGUGAGUGACGGUAAUGGGUAAAGAAGCACCGGCUAACUACGUG